rnacentral:rRNA from 1 species
AUUGAACGCUGGCGGCAGGCUUAACACAUGCAAGUCGAGCGAGCGGCGGACGGGUGAGUAAUGUCUGGGACACUGCCUGAUGGAGGGGGAUAACUACUGGAAACGGUAGCUAAUACCGCCUACACACAGGUGUGCCAAGAUGGGAUUAGCUAGUAGGUGGGGUAAUGGCUAACCUAGGCGACGAUCCCUUGCUGGUCUGAGAGGAUGACCAGCAACGCUGGAACUGAGACACGGUCCAGACUCCUACGGGAGGCAGCAGUGGGGAAUAUUGCACAAUGGGCGCAAGCCUGAUGCAGCCAUGCCGCGUGUGUGAAGAAGGCCUUCGGGUUGUAAAGCACUUUCAGCGAGGAGGCGUUACUCGCAGAAGAAGCACCGGCUAACUCCGUGCCAGCAGCCGCGGUAAUUC